AGCCCAUAAAACCAAAUCACGCAAGAAAACUUAAUGGAAGGAGGAAGAUCAUGAGGAAAUUAGAACUUUUAUAAAAGAAAAGCAAAAGUCCAAAGAUAGUUUUUGACAUUCAAACAGCAUACUGCCAUCGAACGUGGAAGUCAGGAUGACACAGUCAUGAUCUAUGGUUUCUCCAAAAGCCUGUAGCUCCCACUUACUGUAUCAAGAGUUUAACUUCAGGAUUGACCUGGAGAAAAACCAUCACUCCUGGGCCAGAGGGGAUCUGGGGCACAAGACAGAGAAAGCCAGAAAACUAGCACAGCAUGUCUUGAUUCUCUCUACAGGCUUCACUUUGGGUAUCUUAGUUAAACUGGGGAAACAGUGAGGACACUGCCCAUUGUCCCCUUUUGAGCUACCCUUGCUACUCCAAUCUGAGGCACAGCCAGCC
rnacentral:lncRNA from 1 species